AUGGAGAGUUUUCAUGACUACAAGAUGGUGAAUAACCGUUCUGUGGUUGAACAAGCUCAUGAGAUACAGUGCAUUGUGAAGGAACUUGAACUCCUUAAAUGUGUUCUACCCGACAAAUUCGUGGCUGGAUGCAUGAUUGCAAAGUUGCCUCCUUCAUGGAGGAAUUUCGCCACAACUCUGAAGCAUAAGAGACAGGAGAUAUCAGUUGAAAAUCUGAUUGCAUCUCUUGAUGUUGAAGAAAAAGCUCGGGCUAAAGAUACCACUGAAAAAGGAGUAUUUCAAUCAUCUUCGUGGUGGAUUGAUUCGGGUGCUAACGUUCAUGUGUGUGCUGACAUCUCCCUGUUUACUUCUUAUCAGGUCGCAAGGGAUUCUUCCGUCCUAAUGGGGAAUGGGUCACAUGCUUCUGUUCGUGGCAUUGGCACGGUGGAUCUGAAGUUUACUUCGGGAAAGAUCGUGCAACUAAGGAACGUGCAGCAUGUCCCUACUAUAAACAAGAAUCUAGUUAGCGGCUCCCUUCUAUGUCGAGAUGGUUUUAAGGUAGUUUUAGAGUCCAAUAAAGUAAUCGUGUCAAGAUUUGGACAAUUUAUAGGAAAAGGCUAUGAGUACGGAGGCUUGUUCCGCUUUUCUCUUUCAGAUUUUUGCAAUAAGUCAAUAAACCAAAUUUGUGCUAGUGUUAAUGAUGAUGCAAGUAUUUGGCACUCUCGUUUAUGUCAUAUUAAUUUUGGUUUAAUGUCUCGGCUAUCCAGCAUGAGUUUAAUUCCGAACUUCACAGUUGCCAAAGGUUCUAAGUGCCAUAGUUGUGUGCAAUCUAAGCAACCUCGAAAGCCUCAUAAGGCUGCCGAGGAGAGAAACUUGGCACCUCUAGAACUCAUACAUUCUGAUCUUUGUGAGAUGAAUGGUGUGUUGACAAAAGGUGGAAAGAGAUAUUUCAUGACUUUGAUUGAUGAUGCGACUAGAUUUUGCUAUGUUUAUUUGUUGCAAACUAAAGAUGAAGCAUUAGACUACUUUAAAAUCUAUAAAGCUGAAGUUGAAAAUCAACUAGAGAGAAAGAUCAAGCGUCUUAGGUCCGAUCGUGGUGGAGAGUAUUUUCCAAAAGUUUUUGAUGAAUUUUGUGAGGAACAUGGUAUUAUUCAUGAGAGGACGCCUCCCUAUUCACCUCAAUCAAAUGGAGUGGCCGAGAGGAAAAACCGCACAUUGACUGACUUGGUCAAUGCCAUGUUAGACACUUCUGGUUUAUCUAAGGCAUGGUGGGGGGAGGCUCUAUUGACUUCAUGUCAUGUCCUGAAUAGAGUUCCCAACAAUAAUAAAGAGAAAACCCCUUAUGAGGAGUGGGUUGGGAGAAAACCAUCACUUUCUUAUUUGCGCACUUGGGGAUGUUUGGCAAAGGUUAAUAUUCCUAUUCCUAAGAAACGCAAACUUGGACCAAAGACAGUGGAUUGUGUCUUUUCUAGGGUAUGCUCAACGGAGCAUUGCUUAUAG
rnacentral:rRNA from 1 species